UUGAACGCUGGCGGCAGGCCUAACACAUGCAAGUCGAGCGGUAACACAGAGAGCUUGCUCUCGGGUGACGAGCGGCGGACGGGUGAGUAAUGUCUGGGAAACUGCCUGAUGGAGGGGGAUAACUACUGGAAACGGUAGCUAAUACCGCAUAACGUCGCAAGACCAAAGUGGGGGACCUUCGGGCCUCAUGCCAUCAGAUGUGCCCAGAUGGGAUUAGCUAGUAGGUGGGGUAACGGCUCACCUAGGCGACGAUCCCUAGCUGGUCUGAGAGGAUGACCAGCCACACUGGAACUGAGACACGGUCCAGACUCCUACGGGAGGCAGCAGUGGGGAAUAUUGCACAAUGGGCGCAAGCCUGAUGCAGCCAUGCCGCGUGUGUGAAGAAGGCCUUCGGGUUGUAAAGCACUUUCAGCGGGGAGGAAGGCGGUGAGGUUAAUAACCUCAUCGAUUGACGUUACCCGCAGAAGAAGCACCGGCUAACUCCGUGCCAGCAGCCGCGGUAAUACGGAGGGUGCAAGCGUUAAUCGGAAUUACUGGGCGUAAAGCGCACGCAGGCGGUCUGUCAAGUCGGAUGUGAAAUCCCCGGGCUCAACCUGGGAACUGCAUUCGAAACUGGCAGGCUAGAGUCUUGUAGAGGGGGGUAGAAUUCCAGGUGUAGCGGUGAAAUGCGUAGAGAUCUGGAGGAAUACCGGUGGCGAAGGCGGCCCCCUGGACAAAGACUGACGCUCAGGUGCGAAAGCGUGGGGAGCAAACAGGAUUAGAUACCCUGGUAGUCCACGCCGUAAACGAUGUCGAUUUGGAGGUUGUGCCCUUGAGGCGUGGCUUCCGGAGCUAACGCGUUAAAUCGACCGCCUGGGGAGUACGGCCGCAAGGUUAAAACUCAAAUGAAUUGACGGGGGCCCGCACAAGCGGUGGAGCAUGUGGUUUAAUUCGAUGCAACGCGAAGAACCUUACCUGGUCUUGACAUCCACAGAACUUUCCAGAGAUGGAUUGGUGCCUUCGGGAACUGUGAGACAGGUGCUGCAUGGCUGUCGUCAGCUCGUGUUGUGAAAUGUUGGGUUAAGUCCCGCAACGAGCGCAACCCUUAUCCUUUGUUGCCAGCGGUUCGGCCGGGAACUCAAAGGAGACUGCCAGUGAUAAACUGGAGGAAGGUGGGGAUGACGUCAAGUCAUCAUGGCCUUUACGACCAGGGCUACACACGUGCUACAAUGGCAUAUACAAAGAGAAGCGACCUCGCGAGAGCAAGCGGACCUCAUAAAGUAUGUCGUAGUCCGGAUUGGAGUCUGCAACUCGACUCCAUGAAGUCGGAAUCGCUAGUAAUCGUAGAUCAGAAUGCUACGGUGAAUACGUUCCCGGGCCUUGUACACACCGCCCGUCACACCAUGGGAGUGGGUUGCAAAAGAAGUAGGUAGCUUAACCUUCGGGAGGGCGCUUACCACUUUGUGAUUCAUGACUGGGGUG
rnacentral:rRNA from 1 species